AACGAACGCUGGCGGCAUGCCUAACACAUGCAAGUCGAACGAGACCUUCGGGUCUAGUGGCGCACGGGUGCGUAACGCGUGGGAACCUGCCCUUAGGUUCGGAAUAACUCCCCGAAAGGGGUGCUAAUACCGGAUAAUGUCUUCGGACCAAAGAUUUAUCGCCUUUGGAUGGGCCCGCGUUGGAUUAGCUAGUUGGUAGGGUAAAAGCCUACCAAGGCGACGAUCCAUAGCUGGUCUGAGAGGAUGAUCAGCCACACUGGGACUGAGACACGGCCCAGACUCCUACGUGAGGCAGCAGGGGGGAAUAUUGGACAAUGGGCGAAAGCCUGAUCAAGCAAUGCCGCGUGAGUGAUGAAGGCCUUAGGGUUGUAAAGCUCUUUUACCCGGGAUGAUAAUGACAGUACCGGGAGAAUAAGCUCCGGCUAACUCCGUG
rnacentral:rRNA from 1 species